CCUACGGGUGGCAGCAGUGGGGAAUAUUGCACAAUGGGGGAAAGCCUGAUGCAGCGACGCCGCGUGAGCGAUGAAGGACUUCGGUAUGUAAAGCUCUAUCAGCAGGGAAGAAAAUGACGGUACCUGACUAAUAAGCCCUGGCUAACUACGUGCCAGCAGCCGCGGUAUUACGUAGGGGCCAAGCGUUAUCCGGAUUGUCUGGGUGUAAAGGGGGCGUAGACGGUCCUGCAAGCCAGAUGUGAAAGCCCGGGGCUCAACCCCGGGACUGCAUGUGAAACUGUAAGGCUAGAGUGUCGGAGAGGCAGGCGGAAUUCCUGGUGUAGCGGUGAAAUGCGUAGAUAUUAGGAGGAACACCAGUGGCGAAGGCGGCCUGCUGGACGAUGACUGACGUUGAGGCUCGAAAGCGUGGGGAGCAAACAGGAUUAGAUACCCCGGUAGUC
rnacentral:rRNA from 1 species